rnacentral:rRNA from 1 species
UACGUAAGUGGCGAGCGUUAUCCGGAAUUACUGGGCGUAAAGGGCGCGUAGGCGGUCAGCACAAGUCAGUUGUGAAAUCUCCGGGCUUAACUCGGAAAGGUCAACUGAUACUGUGCGACUAGAGUGCGGAAGGGGCAACUGGAAUUCUCGGUGUAGCGGUGAAAUGCGUAGAUAUCGAGAGGAACACCUGCGGCGAAGGCGGGUUGCUGGGCCGACACUGACGCUGAUGCGCGGAAGCGUGGGGAGCAAACAGG